UGCUUAUCUUUUUGUGUGCGGUGGAGGAAAAACGGUGGAGAGAGAGCAAGUGAGCACACUCAAACAUGAACAUACAGAUAGAUAUUAUCUCUUCAGGCAACCCCUUCUCAGCCCAGACUUGGAAAGAACCAUUGAUGGUACAAGAUCUCGGUAUACUUAACUGUAUUACUGUUACUGCUGUGUAACAAAUUAUCCCAAAACUUAGCAACUUAAACAUUAAAAUAUUUCUCCCAUUUUCCAAGAGUCAGGAAUGUGGUAGUUGUUCAGCCAGGGUAUUUCUGGCUGAAGUCUCCCAUGAGAUUAUAGUCAAGCUGACUACUAGGGUUGAAAGAUCUGUUUCCACGCUCACUCACACAGUUGUUAGCAGGACUCACUUCCUGCUAAGACUGUUGGUUGUAGACUUUAGCUCUUUGCCUCCCAUAGGGCUGCUUACAUCAUGGUAGCUUGCUUUCCCUGGACAAGUGAUCCAGGAGAACGAGAGCCCAAGACAGAAGCUGCAAUCUUUUAUAACUUAAUCUCAGAAGUAAUGUCGUACCAUCACUUCAGGCAUAUGCUAUUGGUCACAUAGUUCAGACCAACUCUGGAUUAGUGUAUAAAAUGGGACUAUGUGCGAGGUAGGGAUCAUUGGGGGCCAUCUUAGAGGCUGGCUAUCAAAAUUAUCUUGAUCUAGUUAUUACAUACUAUGUCACUUGUCCUUUUUUUUUUAUCAAGUGAGUUAUUUUUUAAGUUAGAUCUUCUCAGCGUAUAGUCUGGGGAUUUCUUGCAGGUCUUCAGGACCCUUUAACGGGUCAAAAACAAUUUUCAUAACAAUGCCAAAAACAAUAGUCAAUUUUUUUCUGUGCAUUGACAUUUGCACUGAUGGUGCACAAGCAAUGAUGGGUAAAAUUGCUGGUGCCUUAGCAUGGCCAAGGUAGUGGUAAAUUGAAUUAGUACUCCUUGUAUUCAUUGCCACAUGCUUGCAGUUAAAAAAAGCCAGUUUCAGUUAAGAAUGUCUUUGAGGAAGCAGUAAAAGUUAUUAAUUUUAUUUAAUCUAGACUCUUGAGCAAACAUCUUUUCACUAUUUUGUGUGACAAAAUAAGAAUUUUGCCUGAAGUAUUUUUGCUGCAAAUUUGAUGGUUGUCUUCAAGAAACCCCCUAGAGUGAUUGAGUUGCAGGCUGACCUGGCUGCCUUUUUGUUGUUGUUAAUCCUCGCCUGAGGAUAUUUUUUCCAUUGCUUUUCAGAGAAAGUGGAAGGGAGGAGGGAGGGGAGAAAAAGUAGAGAGAGGGAGAGAAGGAAAGCAGGAGAGAAACAUCAAUGUGAGACAGACACAUUGACUGGUUGUCUCCCAUACAUGCCCUGACCAAGAGCAGGGAGUGAACCUGCAACCCAGGUACCAGCCCUUGACUGGGAAUCGAACCCAAGGCCCUUUGGUGCAUAGGGCAGCACUUUAAUCAUUGAGCAACACUGGCCAGGGCCUAGCUGCCUUUUUAGUGGAACACCAUUUUGACUUGAAGCAGUGGUUCUCAACCUGUGGGUCGCGACCCUUUCACAGGGGUUGCCUAAGACCAUCGGAAAACACAUAUAUAGUUACAUGUUGUUUUUGUGAUUAAUCACUAUGUUUUAAUUAUGUUCAAUUUGUAACAAUGAAAUUGGGGGUUACCACAACAUGAGGAACUGUAUUAAAGGGUGGCAGCAUUAGGACGGUUGAGAACCACUGACCUGAAGGAACUGGCCGUUAUUUUCUUGAGAAAGUGAACUUGUCACUUCAAGGAAAACAAUUGUCAGUAUUUGUUACCAAUGACAAAAUUCAAGUUUUCAAGUGAAAGAGUUUUGGAAAACUUGUAUUAAUGUGCUUGCUAGCUUCCCAAUUCUUCAAGACUUUUCUGAUAAGAUUGAUGAUGGAAUUAACAACUGUGACUUUAAAAAUAUUUUAAAUAAAUGGGUCAAUAUUUGGAUGAUCUACAUAAUGUGAUGAACCAAUAUUUUCCAGAUGAUCAGUGCAUUAUAUUACAGAAUCAUUUGUGGGUAAAAGAUCCAUUUAAAGUAUAAGAUAGACUAACACAUUUUUAUGUAACAGAUGAUGAAAAGUUCACUUGCCAAAGUUUGGUAUAUUGUUGAAGAAAUAUAGCCAUAAUUUUCUGAAGGGCUAUUAAAAUAUUCCUUCCUUUUCCAACUUCAUAUCUGUGAGGCCAGAUUACUUUUUAUAUAUAUUUCAACCAAAACAAAAUGAAUGCACAAGCAGAAAUGAGAAUCCAUCUUUCUUCUAUUAAAUCAGAUAUUUAAGAUUUGUAAAAAUGUACAAUGCCACCCUUCCCAUUAAACUUUUGUCUUAGAAAAUAUAGUAAUUUUUCAUAAAGAUAUGUAUUUAUGUUAAACUGUAAUGAAUUAAUUUGUUUUUUAAGUGAAUUAAUAAAUAUCUUUAAAUUUC